GGAGGGGGCAAGCGUUGUUCGGAAUUAUUGGGCGUAAAGGGCGCGUAGGCGGUUGGGUGUGUCUGACGUGAAAGCCCUUGGCUUAACCAAGGAAGUGCGUCUUAUACUGCCCGACUCGAGUCCGGGAGAGGAGAGUGGAAUUCCCAGCGUAGCGGUGAAAUGCGUAGAUACUGGGAGGAACACCGGUGGCGAAGGCGGCUCUCUGGACCGGUACUGACGCUGAGGCGCGAAAGCUAGGGGAGCAAACAGGAUUAGAUACCCUGGUAGUCCUAGCUGUAAACGAUGGGCACUUGGUGUAGCGGGUAUCGACCCCCCUGCUGUGCCCGAAGCUAACGCAUUAAGUGCCCCGCCUGGGGGAGUACGGUCGCAAGGCUG
rnacentral:rRNA from 1 species